UGAGGAAUAUUGCGCAAUGGGGGGAACCCUGACGCAGCAACGCCGCGUGGAGGACGAAGGUUUUCGGAUUGUAAACUCCUUAACUGGGGGAAGAGGAAGGACGGUACCCCAGGACGAAGACACGGCUAACUAGGUGCCAGCAGCCGCGGUAAUACCUAGGUGUCAAGCGUUAUCCGGAAUUACUGGGCGUAAAGGGUGCGCAGGCGGCGCGACAAGUCCGGCGUGAAAGCUUCUGGCUUAACUGGGAGAGGACGUCGGAAACUGUCGAGCUAGAGUGAAUGAGAGGGGGGCGGAAAUCCCGGUGUAGUGGUGGAAUGCGUAGAUAUCGGGAAGAACACCAGAGGCGAAGGCGGCCUCCUGGCAUUUUACUGACGCUGAGGCACGAAAGCGUGGGUAGCGAACGGG
rnacentral:rRNA from 2 species